CUUUGGGAUAACCCUCGGAAACGGGGGCUAAUACCGAAUAUUCACUUGCGGACGCAUGUUUGUGGGUGGAAAGUUUUUCGGCUUGGGAUGGGCUCGCGGCCUAUCAGCUUGUUGGUGGGGUAAUGGCCUACCAAGGCGACGACGGGUAGCCGGCCUGAGAGGGCGACCGGCCACACUGGGACUGAGACACGGCCCAGACUCCUACGGGAGGCAGCAGUGGGGAAUAUUGCACAAUGGGCGGAAGCCUGAUGCAGCGACGCCGCGUGAGGGAUGACGGCCUUCGGGUUGUAAACCUCUUUCAGCAGGGACGAAGCGCAAGUGACGGUACCUGCAGAAGAAGCGCCGGCCAACUACGUGCCAGCAGCCGCGGUAAGACGUAGGGCGCGAGCGUUGUCCGGAUUUAUUGGGCGUAAAGAGCUCGUAGGCGGCUUGUCGCGUCGACUGUGAAAACCCGUGGCUCAACUGCGGGCCUGCAGUCGAUACGGGCAGGCUAGAGUUCGGUAGGGGAGACUGGAAUUCCUGGUGUAGCGGUGAAAUGCGCAGAUAUCAGGAGGAACACCGGUGGCGAAGGCGGGUCUCUGGGCCGAUACUGACGCUGAGGAGCGAAAGCGUGGGGAGCGAACAGGAUUAGAUACCCUGGUAGUCCACGCUGUAAACGUUGGGCGC
rnacentral:rRNA from 1 species